rnacentral:lncRNA from 1 species
GUAGGACCGGUGUCCACUGCUGCGAGAGGAGCGGCCUGCCCAGAGAGCCUCGCUCUUGCAGUGAGAGGCUGUGUGUGUCGCUCCCGCAGGACAGCAGUCGUUGCCGUGACACGACACUGCUGCCUUGACCCCACUAGGCCUCCGCAUCACGAGGACACUCCUCUCUUUGCUGAGGUUGUCAAAAAAGGGGUAGCCACAUAGCCCAACACAUUUUUGGAGUGCUUUUUAUUUAGUACUCGUGGUGUUGACCCAGGUGAUGCUGCCUCUGGCCGGCUGAAAUCUGUACCCCAGUUCAAAGGAAUCAUUGACGGUCUGGACUGUUUUACCUGGAAGUCUUGAAUGACUGUGACAAAUUAUCCCCGACUGGGAGUCCUCUGCAGUUGGUUCACCCCGGAAGUCUCAUAGGCGUGGUUGGCAGACCUGGAGUGGUUAGAUUAAAGUUCAGGGGAACAAGCAGCUUCCUGAGGCCACAUUCCAACUCCAGGGCUGGGCCAUGCCCAGAGCCUGACCUCCAGACCAUGGAAGGAACAGUGUCUUAGGGUUACUAAUGAUGCGAUGAAACACCAUGACCAAAGCAAACUUGGGGAGGAAACUUUGUUCACUCACAGUUGCAUAUAAGUUCAUCAGCAGAUGCAGUGAGGGCAGGAGCCAAUGCAGAAGCCAUGGAAAGGGAAGGACCAGGGCACAGUCACAAAUCAUAGCAAAACCAAAGUGUAAAGCUCAGUGUCUGACUUCUGGGAUAGUCUUCUGAACUUUAAAGGGCUUGAGGACUCCACCUUCAACAAAUGAUGCUGGGAAGGGGACAUCUAUGUGUAAGAAAAUGAAAUUAGAUCACUCUCUUGCCGUCAACAAAAACCAGCUCAAAAUGGAUCAAAGACUUUAAAACCUGAACAUUUCAUAUUGCUAGAUAAAACCCUUCAAGAUCUAGGCACAGACAAAAACUUUCUGAAAGACUCCAAUAAUCCAUGAAACAACAGGAAUGACAGAUGGAUUGGCACAAAAUUAAAAAGCUCCUGUAUAGCAAAAGAAAGAAAAGUGAAGAGACAGCCGAGAGUGGAGAAAAAUCUUUCCAACUGUACAUCUGACAGAUUAAUAUCUAGCAUCUAUAAAGAACCCCCAAAAAAACAGAUACAAAACCUCCACCCCACACAAAUCAUUCAAUCAUAAUUGAGCAAAUGAAUUAAAUAUACAGUUCUCAAAAGAAUAAAUCCAGGGUGUAGGGAAGACACUGUAACCACGCCUCCUAAGGGCUGGCUACAGGUGUGCUUGACCAUGCCUGUCAGGGUGUGGUCAAGGGGAGGUCAGGAUAGGUUCAGGGCUGCAGACACAUGGGGGCCCGCUCUCUCUCUGUCCUCCCUGCCUUGCUGCCUCUGGGCACGCUCUGGCUUGUGCUUCGCUGGUGUAUCUGAAUAAAGAAAACCUAUAUCCUAUUGACGGGUGGUCGAUCUCUA